UGUACCGUAUCACCACUGGAGUAUCAGCAUUAGUGAAUAUUAGGUCAGUUGCGUUGAGCAUUCAUGAUGAUGGACUAUUACACCAGCGUCAGAGAGAACCUGAGAUUGAUAGAAACCUGCUGUUGGUUCUGAGUGUGCUCCAUAGUGUACGAGUGAAGGAUAAUUUGGGUAGCCAAGACACUCCCUGUGUGGACGGUUCUACCUGGCAAAGUCAGUGUCUCUGCAUGUUCAUCUGCUUCUGUGGCCUGCCUUUAUAUGCUGCUCUUGUGCUUAAGGAGCUUGUGACAUCUGUAGAGGACUGACAGAGGUAUGGAUCAUUUAAACCAUGGAUAUAGUGCAAACAUCUUUUAAAGAAUACUGGGAAGUUGAAGAGCAACCAAACCAACAGCCUAUUGGAGAACCCUGCAUCAGCUUCAAGGAUGGCCUCCAGCAUUUCAGUGAUGGAUGUUAUAUAAAUGGUGGAUAUAACGCUGGAUUUGGAGAUCGUUUGAAAUGGAUAGAUGGCGCGAUCCCAGUGCUAAAAGAUGCCCGACAUGAACUGCACGCGAAACUAACGCAAGAGUGAAACCUCCAUCCUCCCGACCACCACCAGGUCAGGCCCUGUCCUCGGUCUGGGGGUAGGCUCCGCCCCUGCCUUUAUCUCAUGCAGGAACUUCUAGAAUCCUACUCCCCAGGAUUCCUUCGUUGGACGGGGCCUACGCCAAAGAUCUUCAUAUAUCUUACAUUAUAUCUUUUGUUAAUAAAUAUUAUUUAUCAUUCUAUGUCUUUCUGGUAGAAAUGGUACGUUCCACGAGUAUAAAAGGAGAUGAAACUGACAUCUAACUAGGCACGUCAUACGGGGCCUUGGAAGUGACGUGAUUUCCGGUGCGUUGGCUGUAUGUUCAGGAGUGACUCGGAGGGGGCCUGGAGGUGUUGCAGCAGGCUUUAUAGGCGCUAUUUGGGUGUUGUGAUCUCUUGUUUGAGCAAUAUAAACUACUAUUACCUGCAUGUGGAUGCCUGAACCGGAGUGCUUCCGGACAGGUCGGAUGCUUUCGUUUCUCUUCACGUUGAUCUGUUUGACCACUCUUCUGCCAUAUACCGGAUGACGUAUUUGUUCCAGCUUUGUGUGUAACACUCAUCCAGUCAAUUGACCAUCUCAUUUCAGUGAACAAGGACCCUCUUGAUGAUCGGAACAGUAGCAUGUUUCCGCCCGAUGGUGAUGCAUUUAAAACUAGUUGUGUCAAACGUCUGUUGACCUGAGGACUUGAAGUGGGGUAAUUACCGUGGCAACGAGUUACGCGUUUGUCACUGCUACUGUAUGUUAUCGUACCUAUUUUUGUUAUUUUGUUUUCUUUUGAAUUUAUUUGUUUGAACCUGUUGUUUCUUUUUGUAUGUUGAUUAUAAACUACUUGAUUGUCCCUUAUAGGGUCAUUCGGUGAUGCCAAGUCUAUGGGCACCGGCUAGUGUGGGUUGCCAUUAAGGGACGAUAAUUGGUUUUCCUUGGCAGUACUUGAUAAGUGUUAUCGACAGUCUCGACAGUCCCCAAAUUGAAACGUGUAUAUGUUUGUGUGCUUGUGUUUUCUUUUCUUUUCAGAAUUGGAGGAUCAGUAUUAGCCAGGAUCCUCUGUGUUUGGGGUGGUACGGUUGUCGGUCUGCAGUGUUCACAACGGGGGUGUUGGUGCUGUGUUGUGAGAGAGCAUGAGUGGUUGCUGAGUUAUUAAAUGGGCAGGAUGAUUUCCCCAAUUCUGAAGUGGUGAAAGUGUGUGUUUGCGUGAGGGUAUGUGGUGUUUUAUGCUGGAUAUAUCCCUUUUAACUGCUACAUAUUAAAGACUAGUUUUGUAUUUUAUAUUGAAUGUGUUUUGAAUAAAUUGUAUGAAAUCUUCUAUCGUUGUCUGAUACCUGUCUCAGCCACUGCGUAUCUGUGUGCUUUUGGUACUUUGCUACCUGUGGGUCCCCGGCCCAUUUAAAAAGUGUGAAGUGAAAGUGACCUAUUAGUCAGAUAUGGUGACCCAUACCCGAAAUGUGACCUCUGCAUUUAACCCAUCC